rnacentral:rRNA from 1 species
GGGAGGUAGUGACAAUAAAUAACAAUACGGGUCCUUUCGGGUCUCGUAAUUGGAAUGAGUACAAUUUAAAUCUCUUAACGAGGAACAAUUGGAGGGCAAGUCUGGUGCCAGCAGCCGCGGUAAUUCCAGCUCCAAUAGCGUAUAUUAAAGUUGUUGCAGUUAAAAAGCUCGUAGUUGAAUUUCGGGGUCAGUAGAUUGGUCAUGCCACUGGUAUGUACUGGUCUCACUGAUUCCUCCUUCCUGAUGAGCCGUAAUGCCAUUAAUUUGGUGUUGCGAGGAAUCUGGACUGUUACUUUGAAAAAAUUAGAGUGUUUAAAGCAGGCUAACGCUUGAAUACAUUAGCAUGGAAUAAUGAAAUAGGACGUUUGAUUCUAUUUUGUUGGUUUCUAGGAUCGACGUAAUGAUUAAUAGGGAUAGUUGGG